GGAGCAUGGUCACGAAAUGAAGGCGAUGCCACUCCUAUCAUCAUGGAUGUUUUCUUGAACGAAGAUUCAUCUACACGCCAGGGACACACCUUCAUUUCAGAUGAGCUUGUUCUGCAUUAAUGAAUGACACCUUUAUUGCUGAUGGGCUUGUUCUUCAUUAAUGUGUGACGCACCUUCAUUGCAGAUGGACUUGUCUUGCAUAAAAGUGUAAAAAAGCAUUUACACAUAAAAGUGUAAAUAAGCAUAUACACUUUUAUAUCUCUCAUCGGUUCAUCUACAUGCCAGGGACACACCUUAACUGCAGAUGAGCUUGUUCUGCAUAAAAGUGUAAAUAAGCAUUUACACUUUUAUAUCCCUCAUCGGUAAGAGCCAUAAGACCGUCUUUAAAAAAAGAUUUCAGGUCUUGGGUUUAUCACAUGCUUUAAAAUAACAGUCAAAGUGUCUAAGUCUAAGCUAAUAAGACAGUCAAAAAAUCUGAGGUCUUAGCUUCAAGACCAGUAAUUUCCUGAAGUGACUUUUUAAUUUAAAAAAGUUGGACACUUUUAGCAACUUUCAAGUGAAUCUCAGUACUUCAGUGCACUUUUCAUUUGUACCAAUUUAUGUCAAAUUAUAUGAUGGCUUUGCCAGAAUUCGGUUUUGUUAUUGAAUUCGUAUUUUUUGGUUCGUUUGUUUUUUGUUUAUUAAUAUUCCUGGACUAAUUCCAGGUUUAUAUUAAAGUGAUUUAUUUUGGUUUACUUGUAUUUACAAAGUAAAAUAUUUUUGCUGACUGAAACUCGUGACAGAAAAUCUGAGGCCUUAGUUUCAAGACCACACUUUUUAUUUGUGCCAAUUCAUAUCAAAUUGUAAGAUGGGAUGGCCAGAAUUUUGUUUUCCUAGUGAAUUUAUAUUUAUUUCUUUGUUUUUUAUUCAUUAAUAUUCCUGGACAAAUUCCAGGCUUAUAAUGAAGUGAUUAUGGCUAUUAUAGCAAGUGAUCAAUUUUUGUUCGGUUGUAUUUGCAAAGUAAAAUAUGUUUUAUUUUUGUUGACUGAAA